rnacentral:rRNA from 1 species
CCUACGGGAGGCAGCAGUGGGGAAUAUUGGGCAAUGGGCGAAAGCCUGACCCAGCAACGCCGCGUGAGUGAAGCAGGCCCUCGGGUUGUAAACUUCUUUUGUCAGUGACGAAACAAAUCACGGUACCUGACGAAUACGCCACGGCUAACUACGUGCCAGCCGCCGCGGUAAUACGUAGGUGGCAAGAGUUAUCCGGAUUUACUGGGUGUAAAGGGCGUGUAGGCGGGUGAGCCAGUCAGAGGUGAAAUUCCAGGGCCAAACCUUGGACCUGCAUUUGAAACUGUGUUUCUUGAGUGAUGGAGAGGCAGGCGGAAUUCCGUGUGUAGCGGUGAAAUGCGUAGAUAUAAGGAGGAACACCAGUGGCGAAGGCGGCCUGCUGGACAGUAACUGACGUUGAGGCGCGAAAGCGUGGGGAGCAAACAGGAUUAGAUACCCCAGUAGUC